CUGCUCUCGAGAUUCGUGCAAACACUUGAAAGUAUCUCUGAAAACCAAGACCACUGGGUACUUGACCUCCCCUCACAGACACUGAAGCAAGGCCGGCAGCCUACAACGCUCCCCACCUCCAGCACUCACAUUUGUGACUAACCCACAAACAUCGCUCCGAACUACCAGGGCGGGGGGCCGCCUUCCUUGCCGGUGCACUUCAAAUAAAAACAGCUCAGCGAUAAACCUGCCCCUACAGUGACCUUCGAGGGUGAAGCCUCAGCGCCGCUCUCCCGCCGGGCCGCACCGGCUCUCCACAGGCACGCGCCCACGCCUCGCGCCGUUCCGGAGGCUUCCCGCGCCGCGCAUGCGCAGUGCCGACCCGCUGACAGGCGGCCCGGCCCGGCCCGGCGCUGCCUCGAGAUGGCGGCCGAGCCCGAGGGGCCGAGUGCGCCCCCCCCCCGCGUACGGCCGCCACCCGCCUUCCCUCAGGUACGUGAAGGAGGUUUUAGGGGGGCUCAGUGUCGGAUAAUUCAGUCUGUGGUUACAGCAGGAUUGUUUUUGUUGAUUGGCUGAACUGUUUGGGGGCGAAAGGUUCACAUACAGAAAUCAAGCAAAAAUUAGAUGCUUUUCUGUGAAUUUAGUUGUCACCAAGAUACAGGCAGUUUUGUAGCGUUCAGAUUUCAGUCAUUUUCAUUUUACGUUUACUGUGAGACAUGUACAGCACUUUCCAAACCAGGAGCCGUUUCCUGUCAGUAACACCACGAGUGCUUCGCUCCAUCUUCACUGAAGCUGGGCCUGUCUUUCCACUUGCGCUCUUCUGACAGCCUCAUGCACUUGGAAGCAGUAAUAAGUGGUAAAUUUUUCAUCAUUAGGACAAGAAGCUUAUACUGAGUGGGCAACAACUUCUCCCGUGGCCAGAGGUUGGGGUAAAUGCUGGAGGACGCAGUGUCAGAGGUGGCUGUGCAAAGUGGAACCGCGGCAUCUCUCAAAACUGCUGGAAUUGAUUCCAGGCUUUCAGUUGUAACGGCCUACAGCUCUACUGCAGGCUUCCUAGAGGAGAAACAAAUUUGUGCCAGCUUGCUGAAUAACCUCAGUAAUGUUCAGUCACUCAGAACUUCCCCAUCUGUGUGUCCAUCCAUCCAAAGAACCAGAUGCUCUGAAAAACUUCGUAACCACCUUGCCUGAUGUAUCUGAAAUAUGUUGCUACCAAAACCACCAUUUCCAGCCCUACGAGCAACGGCAACAACUGACCUACCUGGAGCCCUCAGUUUUUUAGGUGGUCAGGUACGGUGUUUUCUUUACAAGUCAGCUGUUUCUGCUGCUAGAGCUAAAGGGAAAGCUGCAAAAGGGUUUUAUAUGAUUUUAUAUUUUUUUUUGCCCACAGAAAAUGAAAAGACUUAACUUGAAGCAUUAUAACAAAAACUAAUAGAAAGCAACCAUUUUACCAAGGAAUACAAGUUCAGAGAACAAGCAGAUUUCAUCAGAAUGAAAAGCUAAGGUUUCUAUGCAUAAUUAUUCAUCUACUAUUUCCAUUUAGACAGUCAAUUAUUUUAUUAUUGAAAUUAGAUAAUGAGAUAAUUACAUAAACUUCCUUUCUAAACUUCUAUGUAUUCAAUUGACACAGGUUGCAGAAAUAUUUUUGCCAAGAACUUGAUGAUUAAAUGUGAACUUGCUUCAGCAGAAAUGAAGACAUGUCCUUGAUUCUUUGUUACACAUUCGUGCAGCUCUUUUCAUUCAACACAAAGAUUAAUACAUAGGAUCUGAAUCAGCAACUAAUCAUUUUCCAAAAUAUUUGGCUAGUAACCUGAAAUUUCUUCUGAAAAUACCUUAGAAGAGAGUUUCCUCAUAAAAAAAGAAAAUGUGUGCAUGAUGUAUAACGAUUUUUGUAAUAAACUUAAUUGUGUUUUACUGUCA
ensembl:lncRNA